AGGGAUCAUUACACAAAUUAAAAUAUGAAGGCUUCGGCUGGAUUAUUUUUAUCACCCUUGUCUUUUGCGCACUUGUUGUUUCCUGGGCGGGUUCGCCCGCCACCAGGACCACACCAUAAACCUUUUUUAUGCAGUUGCAAUCAGCGUCAGUAUAACAAAUGUAAAUCAUUUACAACUUUCAACAACGGAUCUCUUGGUUCUGGCAUCGAUGAAGAACGCAGCGAAAUGCGAUACGUAGUGUGAAUUGCAGAAUUCAGUGAAUCAUCGAAUCUUUGAACGCACAUUGCGCCCUUUGGUAUUCCAAAGGGCAUGCCUGUUCGAGCGUCAUUUGUACCUUCAAGCUUUGCUUGGUGUUGGGCGUCUUUUUGUCUUUGGCCUCGCCCAAAGACUCGCCUUAAAACGAUUGGCAGCCGGCCUACUGGUUUCGCAGCGCAGCACAUUUUUGCGCUUGCAAUCAGCAAAAAGGACGGCAAUCCAUCAAGACUACAUUUUUACGUUUGACCUCGGAUCAGGUAGGGAUACCCGCUGAACUUAA
rnacentral:rRNA from 1 species